ACCCCGUAGCUGAACUAGAAGCCCCCUCCUGAGAUGGAACUACGGCACCCAUCCUUUGAGGAUCCAUUGACGGAUAAUAUGCUCUUUCUUGCUGAGGCAUUGGCGGAAUGUUGAAGUAUGGCAUUGGUGGGGGUUGUUCCUGUGUGCCUGGGGGCGGAGGAAGCUGAUUCUGCUGUUGAGAUAUGACAGCUCUGGGCAACAAUCCACUGUGCGACACUGCAGCCUGCUGUCUUGCUUCAUCAGACAGCUCGGUCUCUGGUUUAGGAGCUUGUGGUCUCCCCCAGAGAAGCUUCAGUCUCAAGCCUUUUAUCACUAGCCUGUUCGCUAGUUCCUCAGCUGCCUUCUCUGCACCUUCUCUUGUCGUGUAGGUUACAAAAGCACAACCACGCGUUGGUGGGAAUUGUUCCUGUGUGCCUGGGGGUGGAGGAAGCUGAUUCUGCUGUUGUGAUAUGACAGCUCUGGGCAACAAUCCACUGUGUGACACUGCAGCCUGCUGUCUUGCUUCAUCAGACAGCU
rnacentral:lncRNA from 1 species